CUUCUGUUUGUGUUCUCUGGACAGUAAGGCAUGACUUGGACCUGAAACACUUCCCACAUUGGUUGCAUUCAUAAGGUCUCACUCCUGUGUGUGUUCUCUGGUGGACAGUAAGGUGUUCCUUCUUGGUGUAAGACUUUCCACAUCUGUUACAUUCAUAAGGUUUCUCUCCUGUGUGUGUUCUCUGGUGGACAAUAAGCUGUGUCUUCUGGGUGAAAGACUUUCCACACUUGUUACAUCCAUAAGGUUUCUCUCCUGUGUGUAUUCUCUGGUGGACAGUAAGCUGUAUCUUCUGGGUGAAAGACUUUCCACACUUGUUACAUUUAUAAGGUUUCUCUCCUGUGUGUGUUAUCUGAUG